rnacentral:lncRNA from 1 species
UUUUAAAUUUCAAAAUUUGAAAUUUCAAAGUUAAAAUUUUAAAUUUAAAAAUAUAUAUUUAAAAUUUUAAAAAUUUAAAUUCAAAUAUAAUAAGAGGAUAAUAUGAUUAUUUUUUAUUUAUAAAACGCACUAUCUUUCUUAUUCUAUCUUACCUAACCAAACGCUAUUUUUUUUAUUCUCAGGAAUAACCCAAUUUCCAUCCAAACGCAAAAUUGAUCUAAUCCCCGCUUAUACCUCAAUUUAUACCUAACCCUGGAAUAGCUACUUUUUUCUUAUUUUCGAACCAAACGAUACUUAAGACUCCAAGUUGGUGCUUGUAUUUAAAAUAAAAAAUACUAUGUUUACUAAUAAUUUCUAUAUGAUUUUACAAAUUGCAUAGUUUAAUAUUUAGAAUUUUUUUUUUCUCUCAAUCUUGACUUAUUUCUUUGUAUUUGUAAAAUAAUAUAAAAAUUAUUACUAAACGUAACAUCAUUUUUUUAAAUAGGUUAUAGUUUUUUUAAAAAUAAAUUUAAUUAAAAAUAUGAAGUAAAAUUAGGUUUUUAAUUUGAAAUCUUAGAUAUCAAUCGUGAAGUCCUUAAUCAAUUUAUUAAGAUUGGUUGAUAUAUAUAUGUUUUUUCAAAGAUUUUUUUUUUAUCUGUAAUAUAUAACAGAUAUGUAAGAUUUGUUAUCUAGAAAUAAAAUUAACUUAAAAUAAAGGAUUUAAUUUCAUAUAGAUCUGUGCUAACAUAAUGAAUGACAAAUAUAUUCCUACAAAAUUUAAUUUUUAUAUGUUGUUUCUAUCUAUGUUUUAAUAUUUUCAAAUAUAUCCCUCUGGUUUAUUCCCGUUAGAGAACCGUUUAUAUUUUAUAUUAUAUUAUUAUAAUUUUUAUAUGUUGUUUCUAUCUAUGUUUUAAUAUUUUCAAAUAUAUCCCUCUGGUUUAUUCCCGUUAGAGAACCGUUUAUAUUUUUAAAUUUGCUAUUACAAAUAUGUCUCUUCAAAAAUUAUAAUAAUAUAAUAUAAGAAGGAUAAGAAUAUCAAAAGCUAAUCAGGGUAAAUUAUUUAAUCUAUGAUUAAUUAAAAUUUUCUAACGGAUUGUGGCGUUUCAGGAUUUUUGCGGACACAAGAUAUAAAAAUUGAACUUUGUAGGGAUAAAUUUGUCAUUUACUGUAUUUACAGGGAGCCGUAUGAAAUUAACCCUAAAGUUAAAAUAUC